rnacentral:misc_RNA from 1 species
UCGUAACAAGGUCUCCGUUGGUGAACCAGCGGAGGGAUCAUUACCGAGUUAUCCAACUCCCAACCCCUGUGAAUUAUACCUUUAAUUGUUGCUUCGGCGGGACUUCGCGCCCGCCGGGGACCCAAACCUUCUGAAUUUUUUAAUAAGUAUCUUCUGAGUGGUUAAAAAAAUGAAUCAAAACUUUCAACAACGGAUCUCUUGGUUCUGGCAUCGAUGAAGAACGCAGCGAAAUGCGAUAAGUAAUGUGAAUUGCAGAAUUCAGUGAAUCAUCGAAUCUUUGAACGCACAUUGCGCCCGUCAGUAUUCUGGCGGGCAUGCCUGUUCGAGCGUCAUUACGCCCCUCAAGUCCCCUGUGGACUUGGUGUUGGGGAUCGGCGAGGCUGGUUUUCCAGCACAGCCGUCCCUUAAAUUAAUUGGCGGUCUCGCCGUGGCCCUCCUCUGCGCAGUAGUAAAACACUCGCAACAGGAGCCCGGCGCGGUCCACUGCCGUAAAACCCCCCGACUUUUUAUAGUUGACCUCGAAUCAGGUAGGACUACCCGCUGAACUUAAGCAUAUCAAUAA